GGCAUUACUGGGACUAUUUAUGCUGGU
rnacentral:misc_RNA from 1 species